CAGCGAAAUUAAAAACACUGACAAGACCCAUUAAAAUAUUUAUAAAGAAACUGAAAUGAAAUCGCACACAAAAUAUCCUUUUGUUUCGAGAGAUCUCUCACUCCCAUCUAAAUAGAUACACCAGUGUUGGGGAGGGGGCGGAAUGGGUCCUAGUAAUUUAUGUGGGACAAAUGUCCUGGGCUAUAUCUAUAUCUACCUUAGUGCACAACAAAAAUAUGUGUAUAUUCUCAGCCGGCAAAGUUUCACACCAUAAAUUAAAUCCCAAUGUGGCAUUGGCACAUCUUUUCAAAGUUCUUAUUCCGGUGGUUCCUCUGAUGAUCUUCAACACGUUCCAUCCCUGAUUUCUGGAUUCUAUUUUUCGAUUUUCCCAAUAUACACUUGUAUACACAAAGAAGAGCGGCGCAGCGCUGGGCGUCAGCACGUUUCUCCCACGGAAGCAGAGCAGACCAAACAAUCGGAUCGAUAGACUGAUGAUCGAUAGCAAAGCAAUCUUUUGGCAGUUUUAUUGAUGUCUACACACACUCACUCGCAAAAACAUAUAUCUAAAGAUCGUGUGGCUAUAUACGCUUGGAAUAAACAUUCCAUCUGAUGAUUC
rnacentral:sRNA from 1 species